GGAAGAAAAAAGUAAAUUAGCAAGCUACAAGAUUGUGUUCUUUACAGAUAGCUAGAUGUAUUUGUAUAUUUCUUAAGAGAUAGCAGUUUAUGACUAGCUUAGUCAUUCAGUUAGUUGUCACUAUGGUUGUACACAAGCUUGUUUCUACAGAUUAAAUAUAUAGAGCCCACUAUUCUCAGAGCUGUGUUGACAUUAUACUAGGGCUAAACAAACAGGUGUUAAAUACCUCUUAUGAAUAAAUGUAAAUUUCCUUGUUUCUAGUACCCUUUUAGCCCUUCAGACUAUAAGCUGUUGUCUCUAAACUAAGGUCAUGCCAUAAGCCCCUCUACUAAACCAUAGUUCUUUAUAACUCUUCCAAGCUCCUGAGGCUCCUCUUUCCCCUCCAGGGUUCAGAAAACUCUGAAGUGGCUGCAGAGACGGUGUUCGGAACACAAUCCUUUUUUGUUCAGCCAGAUACACACUUACACCAAAACACUGCAGAGAUUACUACUCUGGGGCCCAAUCCUGGUCCCAGUGAAAUAAAUAGCAAAGCUUCCACUCACCGAUAGGAAUAUGAUUGUGCCCUUGAUUGUCACUCUGCUAACAAUGGAUAAAAUACAUUAAAAACUUGACAGGGCACUAUCAGUACAUGUCAGCAGCAGACCCCUACCAUAGCAAAAUUGAUUCUCCCACAUGGUUUUAAUGAAAAAAGAUUAGACAGAAGGACAAGAGAAACAUGGCAAUACUGUAAUCAAAGCAAUAAUUGAUCAAAUUCAGUUUCUCUAGUGGAGUGCUCUGAGUGAUGUCAGAUACCUCAUGAAAACUAAGAAGCUGACUAUUAGAAACAGUUUUGUUUGGGUAGUUUAACAGAACACAUAGAACGAGAGUUUCCGAUGAAAGUCUCCUCCAGAGUACUAGCUGUUUUGAUAAACUGACAAGAAGGUUGGCCUUCACUUUGAAUUUUAGCUUAUUUUAAAAUAGCUUUUGCAGAAGGUUUAUAAAGUCAGUGGGAAGUUCUGUAUAAAAUUGCCCUGCAUAUGGAGUCUCAGUUAAAUUUACUAGAACAACAAAACCAAGCCACACACUACUGUCCUCCUCCUCUGUUCCCCAAGCCCAAAAGACUUCCUGGGAAAACAACAUGGUAUGAAGUGUCAACAAAUGAGUGGCAAAAUUCCAGGACAUUAACUCCAAGAGUCGAGCACCUCUAACUAAAGGCACCGUGUCGGAUUCAAUCCCCAAUAUCAGGCCUGGAAAUUAUUUGGAAAUUAACAGCUGAAUGGAAGGUCUACUAAGUACACAAUUCUUGUCUUUUCCCAUUAUUUCCUCUUCUCUUCCCCCAAAAGAAGUGUUUGCAAAAUGAGAAUAUACCAUUUGAUUUUCAUCAGUUUUAGUGUCUCUAGUUAUACAGGGCAUGGAGGCAUUUACUGCAUAUUAAUAACAAGACAUCUUUUAGACUAGGAUUUUCUAUGAAGAGUUUUAGACCCAAGCAAUUCUCUUAACAAUACAAUUACAAAACCCUAAAAAAAAAAAAAAAAAAAAAAAAAAAAAAAA